rnacentral:rRNA from 1 species
AGUGAACGCUGGCGGUAGGCCUAACACAUGCAAGUCGAACGGCAGCACAGUAAGAGCUUGCUCUUACGGGUGGCGAGUGGCGGACGGGUGAGGAAUACAUCGGAAUCUACUUUUUCGUGGGGGAUAACGUAGGGAAACUUACGCUAAUACCGCAUACGACCUACGGGUGAAAGCAGGGGAUCUUCGGACCUUGCGCGAUUGAAUGAGCCGAUGUCGGAUUAGCUAGUUGGCGGGGUAAAGGCCCACCAAGGCGACGAUCCGUAGCUGGUCUGAGAGGAUGAUCAGCCACACUGGAACUGGGACACGGUCCAGACUCCUACGGGAGGCAGCAGUGGGGAAUAUUGGACAAUGGGCGCAAGCCUGAUCCAGCCAUACCGCGUGGGUGAAGAAGGCCUUCGGGUUGUAAAGCCCUUUUGUUGGGAAAGAGAAGCAGCAGGUUAAUACCCCGCUGUUCUGACGGUACCCAAAGAAUAAGCACCGGCUAACUUCGUG